rnacentral:rRNA from 1 species
UACGAAGGGGGCUAGCGUUGCUCGGAAUCACUGGGCGUAAAGGGUGCGUAGGCGGGUCUUUAAGUCAGGGGUGAAAUCCUGGAGCUCAACUCCAGAACUGCCUUUGAUACUGAGGAUCUUGAGUUCGGGAGAGGUGAGUGGAACUGCGAGUGUAGAGGUGAAAUUCGUAGAUAUUCGCAAGAACACCAGUGGCGAAGGCGGCUCACUGGGCCCGAUACUGACGCUGAGGCACGAAAGCGUGGGGAGCAAACAGG